GUUGUAUAGUCAAGUAAUUAAGUGCAUGUGGUGGAUGCCUUGGCAGUCAGAGGCGAUGAAAGACGUGAUAGCCUGCGAAAAGCUCCGGGGAGGCGGCAAAUAUCCUUUGAUCCGGAGAUGUCUGAAUGGGGGAACCCACCUACUUUAAGGUAGGUAUUGCAACAUGAAUACAUAGUGUUGCAAGGCGAACGAGGGGAAGUGAAACAUCUCAGUACCCUUAGGAAAAGAAAUCAAUUGAGAUUCCCUCAGUAGCGGCGAGCGAACGGGGAUCAGCCCAUUAAGUUAUGUGUGUUUUAGUGGAACGCUCUGGGAAGUGCGAACGUAGAGGGUGAUAUUCCCGUACACGAAAGGGCACACAUAAUGAUGACGAGUAGGGCGAGGCACGUGAAACCUUGUCUGAAUAUGGGGGGACCAUCCUCCAAGGCUAAAUACUCCUGACUGACCGAUAGUGAACCAGUACCGUGAGGGAAAGGCGAAAAGAACCCCUGUGAGGGGAGUGAAAUAGAUCCUGAAACCGCAUGCAUACAAGCAGUGGGAGCACCUUCGUGGUGUGACUGCGUACCUUUUGUAUAAUGGGUCAGCGACUUAUAUUCAGUAGCGAGGUUAACCGUAUAGGGGAGCCGUAGAGAAAUCGAGUCUUAAUAGGGCGUUUAGUUGCUGGGUAUAGACCCGAAACCAGGCGAUCUAUCCAUGAGCAGGUUGAAGGUUGGGUAACACUAACUGGAGGACCGAACCCACUGUCGUUGAAAAGCCAGGGGAUGACUUGUGGAUAGGGGUGAAAGGCUAAUCAAGCCUGGUGAUAGCUGGUUCUCCCCGAAAGCUAUUUAGGUAGCGCCUCGGACGAAUACCAUAGGGGGUAGAGCACUGUUUCGGCUAGGGGGUCAUCCCGACUUACCAAACCGAUGCAAACUCCGAAUACCUAUGAGUACUAUCCGGGAGACAGACUGCGGGUGCUAACGUCCGUAGUCAAGAGGAAAACAAUCCAGACCGCCAGCUAAGGCCCCAAAAUCAUAGUUAAGUGGGAAACGAUGUGGGAAGGCAUAGACAGCUAGGAGGUUGGCUUAGAAGCAGCCACCCUUUAAAGAAAGCGUAAUAGCUCACUAGUCGAGUCGGCCUGCGCGGAAGAUGUAACGGGGCUAAAACUAUGUGCCGAAGCUGCGGAUNNNNNNNNNNNNAUGCUGGAGGUAUCAGAAGUGCGAAUGCUGACGUGAGUAACGACAAAACGGGUGAAAAACCCGUUCGCCGAAAGACCAAGGGUUCCAGUCCAACGUUAAUCGGGGCUGGGUGAGUCGACCCCUAAGGCGAGGCCGAAAGGCGUAGUCGAUGGGAAAAUGGUUAAUAUUCCAUUACUUCUGUGUAAUGCGAUGAGAGGACGGAGAAGGCUAAAUCAGCCUGGCGUUGGUUGUCCAGGUGAAAGGAUGUAGGCAUGUAUCUUAGGCAAAUCCGGGGUACUCUAUGCUGAGAUCUGAUAGCAAGCUGUACUUGUACAGCGAAGUGGUUGAUGCCAUGCUUCCAGGAAAAGUCUCUAAGCUUCAGUUACACAGGAAUCGUACCCGAAACCGACACAGGUGGUCAGGUCGAGUAGACCAAGGCGCUUGAGAGAACUCUGCUGAAGGAACUAGGCAAAAUGGUACCGUAACUUCGGGAGAAGGUACGCUGUUGUUGGUGAUGGAACUCGCUUCCUGAGCUGACGACAGCCGCAGAAACCAGGCCGCUGCAACUGUUUAUUAAAAACAUAGCACUCUGCAAACACGAAAGUGGACGUAUAGGGUGUGAUGCCUGCCCGGUGCUGGAAGGUUAAUUGAUGGGGUUAGCGUAAGCGAAGCUCUUGAUCGAAGCCCCAGUAAACGGCGGCCGUAACUAUAACGGUCCUAAGGUAGCGAAAUUCCUUGUCGGGUAAGUUCCGACCUGCACGAAUGGCAUAAUGAUGGCGGCGCUGUCUCCAGCAGAGGCUCAGUGAAAUCGAAAUCGCUGUGAAGAUGCAGUGUACCCGCGGCUAGACGGAAAGACCCCGUGAACCUUUACUGCAGCUUGACACUGAACUUUGACCUUACUUGUGUAGGAUAGGUGGGAGGCUUUGAAGCUGGAACGCUAGUUCCAGUGGAGCCGUCCUUGAAAUACCACCCUGGUAAUGUUGAGGUUCUAACUCUGUCCCGUGAUCCGGGACGAGGACCGUGUCUGGUGGGUAGUUUGACUGGGGCGGUCUCCUCCUAAAGAGUAACGGAGGAGUACGAAGGUGCGCUCAGCGUGGUCGGAAAUCACGCGUAGAGUAUAAAGGCAAAAGCGCGCUUAACUGCGAGACCCACAAGUCGAGCAGGUACGAAAGUAGGUCUUAGUGAUCCGGUGGUUCUGUAUGGAAGGGCCAUCGCUCAACGGAUAAAAGGUACUCUGGGGAUAACAGGCUGAUACCGCCCAAGAGUUCAUAUCGACGGCGGUGUUUGGCACCUCGAUGUCGGCUCAUCUCAUCCUGGGGCUGAAGCAGGUCCCAAGGGUAUGGCUGUUCGCCAUUUAAAGAGGUACGCGAGCUGGGUUUAGAACGUCGUGAGACAGUUCGGUCCCUAUCUACCGUGGGCGCUGGAAAUUUGAGAGGAUCUGCUCCUAGUACGAGAGGACCAGAGUGGACGAACCUCUGGUGUACCGGUUGUGACGCCAGUCGCAUCGCCGGGUAGCUAUGUUCGGAAGGGAUAACCGCUGAAAGCAUCUAAGCGGGAAGCCUACCUCAAGAUAAGAUUUCCCUAGGACUUUAUGUCCUCUAAAGAGCCGUUCGAGACUAGGACGUUGAUAGGUUGGAUGUGGAAGCAUAGUGAUAUGUGAAGCUGACCAAUACUAAUUGCUCGUGAGGCUUGACUAUACAACACCCAAGCAGUUG
rnacentral:rRNA from 2 species